UACGAAGGGGGCUAGCGUUGCUCGGAAUCACUGGGCGUAAAGGGUGCGUAGGCGGGUUUCUAAGUCAGAGGUGAAAGCCUGGAGCUCAACUCCAGAACUGCCUUUGAUACUGGAAGCCUUGAGUUCGGGAGAGGUGAGUGGAACUGCGAGUGUAGAGGUGAAAUUCGUAGAUAUUCGCAAGAACACCAGUGGCGAAGGCGGCUCACUGGCCCGAUACUGACGCUGAGGCACGAAAGCGUGGGGAGCAAACAGG
rnacentral:rRNA from 1 species